rnacentral:rRNA from 1 species
UUCCGGUUGAUCCUGCCGGACCUGACUGCUAUCGGAUUGAUACUAAGCCAUGCUAGUCUUUGCAGUAAUGCAAGGCAUACGGCUCAGUAACGCGUAGUCAACCUACCCUAUGGACAAGAAUAAUCUCGGGAAACUGAGCAUAAUUCUUGAUAGAUCAUAAUGCCUGGAAUGGUUUAUGGUUAAAAUGAUUCGUCGCCAUAGGAUGGGACUGCGGCCUAUCAGCUUGUUGGUGAGGUAAUGGCCCACCAAGGCGAUUACAGGUACGGGCUCUGAGAGGAGAAGCCCGGAGAUGGGUACUGAGACAAGGACCCAGGCCCUAUGGGGCGCAGCAGGCGAGAAAACUUUGCAAUGUGCGAAAGCACGACAAGGUUAGUCCGAGUGAUUUCUGCUAAAGAGAUCUUUUGCUAGUUAUAAAACCACUAGUGAAUAAGGGGUGGGCAAGUUCUGGUGUCAGCCGCCGCGGUAAAACCAGCACCUCAAGUGGUCAGGAUGAUUAUUGGGCCUAAAGCAUCCGUAGCCGGCUCUGUAAGUUUUCGGUUAAAUCUAUGCGCUCAACGUAUGGGCUGCCGAAAAUACUGUAGAGAUAGGGAGUGGGAGAGGUAGACGGUACUCGGUAGGAAGGGGUAAAAUCCUUUGAUCUAUCGAUGACCACCUGUGGCGAAGGCGGUCUACCAGAACACGUUCGACGGUGAGGGAUGAAAGCUGGGGGAGCAAACCGGAUUAGAUACCCGGGUAGUCCCAGCUGUAAACGAUGCAGACUCGAUGAUGCAUUGGCAUAUAGCCAGUGCAGUGUCGCAGGGAAGCCGUUAAGUCUGCCGCCUGGGAAGUACGUACGCAAGUAUGAAACUUAAAGGAAUUGGCGGGGGAGCACCACAAGGGGUGAAGCCUGCGGUUCAAUUGGAGUCAACGCCGGG